rnacentral:sRNA from 1 species
AGGAUGGCUCCGCACUGCUGCCUGACCCCCGACCCGGCAGCAGUGCGGAGCCGUUUC